AUUUAAUCAGAAAGGAUGCUCAAUGGGACUUUGUCACGCCGAGAUAUCAGCAGCAAUCGGCAACGACAAAGCUCAAUUAUCUAUUGCAUAUUCAGAAGAAAGCAUCUGCUGUCGACAAUCAAGGCACUAUGACAGGUAGCUCAAGCCUAAGAUGCAAACAUCUCUAGGAAUGGAGUUGCUGACGGUAUGCAAAGAAUGAGACAAUGGUGAUGGUCAGGAUCGAUGUGUCAAGCAUCUGAGACAUAUCGACGUCAAGACAUGGAAGAGGGCUCUCUGCCCUUAUAGAUAGGCCUUCUUACCAUGCUGCAUUACUAACCUGCACAAUUAAUGUGUAUCGAAAUUAACUUUGGAAGAACAUUAAGCAUGCAAACAUAGCUGUGGAGAAUC